UUUCUGUUUCAUUUCCUGAGAGCCACUGCUUUUCCAAGUUUUCCACCAUCCAUCCUGGCAGUUUAUGGACAGCAUCUCCAGGCUCCUCUGGGGCUGAUUCAUCCUGUGUCUUAUGAGAGGGGUCCAUGUUCAAGAACUUCACCCUUCCAUUUUAUGUUCUGCAUCACAUAAUUCAGUGCAUUAGGAAUCCAAGGCAUUGGGGUGAACCUUAAAGUGGGAGCCAGACUUGUAAGUCACCUGCAUCCUCAGAAGCUUCUGCAUGACCUGUAUUAUUGCUAAGAAAAUGAAUCAAGAAUCACUUUGUAUGCACGUCUCUAUUUCCCAUGGAUACACACUUAAGACACAUGCACUGCUUUAGUUGGCAAGUGCUCUGGAGAAAUAGAAUCCUAAGGAGACCAGGAAGGGAGUUGAACAAAGGAAACAUGCUGACCUCUGAUGUGGCUUCAAAUGUGAGGAGUCGUCUGAGGAACUCUGAACUCGGAGCUGGAGUUUUCGGAAUUGCAGUCAAGAAAUUAAUUGAGAAGAACAAGAAUUUCAUCAGAUAACUGGGAAUUCAAAAUUGAACAAAAAUUUUAAGACAAACAAAUGAAAUAAUACAAAUUACCCAAUAGGUUUUAAUAGUAGAUUAUAUUCAACCAAAAAUAUGAUUUAUAAAUAGGAAUGUAAAUCUGAAGAAAUUUUCUAGUAUUUACCAUUGAGAAGCAAAUGAAUGAAAAAUGUAGACGAGAACAUACGGAAUGUGGAAGACACUGCAAAAGGCCUAAUAUGUGCAAAAUUUAAUCUGAGGAGAAAAGGUGAAAGAAUGGAACAGUAACAAUAGGUAAAGAGAUAUUUUUUAAAAUGUGUUAAAAUAUAUUAGAUGAGGUACAAGUUCCCAAUGAGAAAUGUAAUUGUGUUGUAUACCUAAAAUGUACCCAUAAAAGAAUUUAAGAAAAAAAUUUAUACUACGUGAUAGAUUCAAAAAGCACAGUAACUUUAAGGAAUACAUAUACAGAAAAAAUCACAGUCAAAAAUUGUAAAACUAUUUGAAAGCAAAGAAAAAAUGAGUGUUUUACAAGGAAACAGAGGGACAAAGAUGCUUGAACUUCAAGCAUUAAUAGGUAUGAUAACGGAUUUCUUAACAUGAACAAUGGAAACAAAACUACAUGUUAUAAAAUAUGACUGAAAGAAAAAAAGGGUUAGGCACUUUCCCACCCCGAAUGCAAGCACACAUACACAAUAUUGAAAGAGGUUUACAGAAAUAUAUUUCCAGAUAGAUGGUGAAGGAAUAAAUGAAAUGUGGAUACAUGAGUAAAUUAAAAUGUGUGUUAUCUGUAUAAAGAAAUUAUUUCUCAACCUAAGGAUGUGGCUCAGUGGGAGAGAGCACAUGCUUAGCAUAUGUGAGGCCCUGGAUUCAGUUCCUAGGACCAAACAUAAAGAAGAGAAAGAAGAUCAUGUUUGAUAGUGUUUAAGAUGCAGAGAAAAUAAAAAUACAUUGUAAAUGUAGUACAUUUACAGCGAUAGCACAUACACUUAAAGAAUUCGAGGUGCUUCUUUAUUGAGAUUUAAUUCAAUAUUAAUACAUAAUAAUUCUAAUAAUUCAAAAAUGAAGAUUGUAUUGCCUAAAGAAGUCACUGAAAUGGUAUAGUAGAAUUCAUAACUACCAAGCUAGCAGAGGUCAAGUUUAGAAUAAUCAAAAAUACUGAAUCUAAAAGAAGAUAGUGCAGAACAGCAAAUGAAACAUAGAAAAGUGUCUUGAAGGACAAAGAGUUGAUUUACAUCCAAAGUAAAAACCAAAGAGAUGGGAAAAGUUACAUCAUGUAAAAAAAUUACAAAGAAACCUGGUAUAGCACUACUGGAAUGACAUAGUAUUGAUUGUUAAGUAUAAAGUAAAAUUUAAGGAAUAUAUAUUACUGUUGAUUUUAAAAAGACAUUUUGUUAAGCUAAAAGGAUCAACAAAAGACAUAUAAUUCUGCAUUUACAUGAUCCUAAUGAUAUAGCCUCAAAGUUCAUUUUUAAAAAUAAAUAUCUGAGAGUCAUAGAUGUUUUAAUACAUUUCUUUCCCUGAGUAGUGAGACAAUUAGACACUAAGUAAAGCAUACUUAGAAGAUUUGGAAAGCUUAAUUAAUGAAGGCCUAACUGAGAAGCACUUCAUAAAAGAGGUUAUUAAAAAGGCCAAGAAGUAUAUGAAAUUAUGCUCAAACAGAAAAUGAAAAUUAAAACCCUAGUGAAAAAGCCUACAUACUCAAUACUUUAGUUAGACAAAGAUUGGCACUAAUACAUGUUGAUGUGGAUAGAACUCACAUAUACAGUUGAUUGGAAAAUAAAUUGAAACAACCACUUUACAAAAGUAUUUGGCAUUAUUUAUUAAAGCCGAAUGUAUACAUAGUCUAUGGGUAAAAAAUUUUAUUCCUGGAAUGUAAUCAAAAGAAAUGGAUGUAAAUAUUCCUUAAAAAUAUGUAAUACAUUCACAGAGGCAACAGUUUUUACAACUGUUAGCAAAGAGUAUCAAAGAGAGGCAAAUAAUGUAAAUAACUGAAAUACUCAUCUCUAGUAGAACCAGGAAAUCAGUUUGGAUUUCCUAAUGAUGCUAGUGCAUUAUCAUAAGCAGGAAGAAUGAAUGAACAAAUAUCAUGCACAAUAAUAUAAAAGAAUCUCACAAAUAUGAGAGAUGGAAUAAGCCAACUACUAAUUUUUUAAUCAUAUCAUUCUAUGAAUGUAAAACCCCAAAGUCAUGUACGUUUUGGCUAAGUCAAAAUAGUGUCUGCCUCUGCGAAGGAAAGAGAAGAUAGUUUUGGGAGUCAG